UACGUAGGGUCCGAGCGUUGUCCGGAAUUAUUGGGCGUAAAGGGCUCGUAGGCGGUCUGUUGCGUCGGGAGUGAAAUCUUACAGCUUAACUGUGAACUUGCUUUCGAUACGGGCAGACUUGAGGCAUUCAGGGGAGAACGGAAUUCCUGGUGUAGCGGUGAAAUGCGCAGAUAUCAGGAGGAACACCGGUGGCGAAGGCGGUUCUCUGGGAAUGUACUGACGCUGAGGAGCGAAAGCCAGGGGAGCAAACGGG
rnacentral:rRNA from 1 species